AGCGAACGCUGGCGGCAGGCCUAACACAUGCAAGUCGAACGAACCCUUCGGGGUUAGUGGCGGACGGGUGAGUAACACGUGGGAACGUGCCUUUAGGUUCGGAAUAACUCAGGGAAACUUGUGCUAAUACCGAAUGUGCCCUUCGGGGGAAAGAUUUAUCGCCUUUAGAGCGGCCCGCGUCUGAUUAGCUAGUUGGUGAGGUAAUGGCUCACCAAGGCUACGAACAGUAGCUGGUCUGAGAGGAUGGCCAGCCACAUUGGGACUGAGACACGGCCCAAACUCCUACGGGAGGCAGCAGUGGGGAAUCUUGCGCAAUGGGCGAAAGCCUGACGCAGCCAUGCCGCGUGGAUGAUGAAGGUCUUAGGAUUGUAAAAUCCUUUCACCGGUGAAGAUAAUGACUGUAGCCGGAGAAGAAGCCCCGGCUAACUUCGUGCCAGCAGCCGCCGUAAGAC
rnacentral:rRNA from 1 species